GUUUUUGUUAUGUGAGCAGCUCCUUACAACUUCGGAAGUAAAGCCUAAGGAAAGCCAGUCCUGACUCCAGCCACUAUCCGUUAGAAGAUUCGGCACAGGGGCUGCACUCUCUGGUCUCUUGUCUCUAGGCUUAAGAGAACUGAACCUUUCGAGGGCCUUGAGUAAAGUUGCUUCAGGGAUCCAGAAAUGAGUCACAAAGAAGAAAAACUGAAAAUAAUCUCAGAGGAGUUUGUUGAAAAUGAAGAUGAGGAGGCAGAAAAACUGAAGAAAAAGUUGAAAGUCCAAAAACAAAGAAGAAAGAAACAGGUAGGGUUAUUACUAUUUUGACAUUUGUCUUUCUUUUUAAUUAAUGUCUAACUUUAACAAUGUUGUAGCA
rnacentral:lncRNA from 1 species